UACGGGGGGGGCAAGCGUUGUUCGGAAUUACUGGGCGUAAAGGGCUCGUAGGCGGCCAACUAAGUCAGACGUGAAAUCCCUCGGCUUAACCGGGGAACUGCGUCUGAUACUGGAUGGCUUGAGGUUGGGAGAGGGAUGCGGAAUUCCAGGUGUAGCGGUGAAAUGCGUAGAUAUCUGGAGGAACACCGGUGGCGAAGGCGCCCACCUGGCCUGCUACUGACGCUGAAGCUCGAAAGCUAGGGGAGCAAACGGG
rnacentral:rRNA from 1 species